AUCACGUCGCUCUCNUCAAACAUCCUUGUUNGGAUUGUGUUGUUUGNGGGCGGAUAUUGNUUUCCUGNGCCCGNGGNGCGGUUGNCCCAAANACGAGUCCGGUUAAGAAAGACACACACUGGUGGUGGUUGAUNACGCAGUCGUCUCGUGGCGUGUGUUUUUAUUCUUGAACGGAACUNUCUUAAAGUACCCUGACGUGCUGUCUUGUGAUAGCCCUUUGAUC
rnacentral:rRNA from 1 species